AGAAAUAGUCUGAUUGUACACCGCAAACUCUGCCUUUUACCAUUCAAGCCUUUUAAAUGGGAGGACAAGCCUUGCUGCUCUAAACUACCAGUCCCUUCGGACCCAAGGCAGGGGAUCCUUGGACGUAUAGGACCAUGUGUACUACAAUGGUGGUCCUCACCACCAUCGCUCUCAUCCUGCGACAGAAAUUCUCAAACAAAAUCAGACCGCAGAAAGAGGCCAAUGAGAAAGAUGUGCCAUACAUGAAGAGCAAUGGAGCAGCAGAAACCCAAAAAUGACAACAGCGAGGAUCACAUGACGUGACCAGAGUCAUGAGGCCAUCAUCAAGUCUAUGACCUCUGCGAUGAGGACUUUUCCCCCUGGAUACUACAAAGACAUUCCCUGUAAUCUUUUUCUUGUUGUCUCUCACUGAUCAACUUCUGAGAUAGCAGCUCUUGGCAGCUCAAGCCAAGCAUCUCACCAGGAUUAAAAAAAACAAAAAGGGUGGUAAAACAACGAGGCCUGUUUUGAUUAUAGCUUCCCCCUAUCUGUCCUGCAGACGCACUCAUCCCUGUGACAGGAAACAGCAGCUGAGUGAACUCUGGGGUGAACUCCAGGUGGGAAGAUGAAGCCUGACCAAAACUGUGUAUUCAUCAUGAAUUUAUAUUGUUAUAGUUGGUUAUAUGAUCAGAUUUAAAGUCAUGAAACAUGUUAUGUGCCUCCACAGUAGUCAUUUGUUAAAUUUCCUACUAUAUGCAUGUAUGAGGACAGGGUGACAUUUGACUGGAUACAUCUUAUAGAGCAGCUAUUCUUGAGAAAUGAAAUGCGACACAAAUUCUACUGAAAAAAUGGCUUAAUCAAUGUAUUGUAUUGUUUAUUAAAGGUUUGCCCAAUCUGUAAAUCUCAAAAAUGUGUGUUUUUCCCCACAAAUUAA